GUCUGUAUAGCUCAACUGGGAGAGCAACUGCCUUACAAGCAGCGGGUUGGAGGUUCAAGUCCUUCUACAGACA
rnacentral:tRNA from 1 species